rnacentral:tRNA from 1 species
GGCUGGUUAGCUCAGUGGGUUGAGCGCGGUGCUGACAACAAUGACAACACCAAGGUCGUGGGUUUGAUUCCUGCUCCGUCCC